rnacentral:rRNA from 1 species
GUCACAACUCUCGACAAUGGAUAUCGCGGCUCUAACAUCGAUGAAGAGCGCAACAAAAUGCAAUACGUGGUGCGAAUUGCAGAAUCCCGCGAACCAUCGAGUCUUUGAACGCAAGUUACGCCCGAUGCCAAUCGGUCGUGGGCAUGUCCGCCUGGGCGUCAAGC